rnacentral:tRNA from 5 species
GGCCCCAUCAUCUAGCGGUCCAGGAUACUGGGUUUUCAUCCCAGACACGCGGGUUCGAUUCCCGCUGGGGUCA